rnacentral:rRNA from 1 species
CCUACGGGAGGCAGCAGUGGGGAAUAUUGCACAAUGGGGGAAACCCUGAUGCAGCAACGCCGCGUGAAGGAAGACGGUUUUCGGAUUGUAAACUUCUGUUCUUAGUGAAGAAUAAUGACGGUAGCUAAGGAGCAAGCCACGGCUAACUACGUGCCAGCAGCCGCGGUAAUACGUAGGUGGCAAGCGUUGUCCGGAAUUACUGGGUGUAAAGGGAGCGGAGGCGGGAAGCCAAGUCAGCUGUGAAAACUACGGGCUUAACUUGUAGACUGCAGUUGAAACUGGUUUUCUUGAGUGGAGUAGAGGUAAGCGGAAUUCCUAGUGUAGCGGUGAAAUGCGUAAAUAUUAGGAGGAACACCAGUGGCGAAGGCGGCUUACUGGGCUUUAACUGACGCUGAGGCUCGAAAGCGUGGGUAGCAAACAGGAUUAGAUACCCUAGUAGUC